rnacentral:rRNA from 1 species
ACGGGUGAGUAACGCGUAGGAAUAUGCCUUAAAGUGGGGGACAACUUGGGGAAACUCAAGCUAAUACCGCAUAAUCUCUUUGGAGAAAAGCUAGGGACCUUCGGGCCUGGCGCCUUAAGAUUAGCCUGCGUACGAUUAGCUAGUUGGUAGGGUAAAGGCCUACCAAGGCGACGAUCGUUAGCUGGUCUGAGAGGAUGACCAGCCACACUGGAACUGAGACACGGUCCAGACUCCUACGGGAGGCAGCAGUGGGGAAUAUUGGACAAUGGGGGCAACCCUGAUCCAGCAAUGCCGCGUGUGUGAAGAAGGCCUGAGGGUUGUAAAGCACUUUCAGUGGGGAGGAGGAUUGCCAGGUUAAGAGCUAGGUAAUUGGACGUUACCCACAGAAGAAGCACCGGCUAACUCCGUGCCAGCAGCCGCGGUAAUACGGAGGGUGCGAGCGUUAAUCGGAAUUACUGGGCGUAAAGGGUUCGUAGGUGGUUAAUUAAGUUAUCUGUGAAAUCCCCGGGCUCAACCUGGGCAGGUCAGAUAAUACUGGUUAACUCGAGUAUGGGAGAGGGUGGUGGAAUUUCCGGUG